AAGGAACACAAAAGACGAUGUUGCAGUCUACAGGCCCUCUGCAGAUUGAGAUGAUGGCUGUCGAGAAGAUCCAACCACUCAACCACAGUCUACAAUUCGUGCUAUGGUAGAUGUGACUCUCAACGAUUUUGGAUGACAAAGGAAUCCAAUGCAUAUAUGUCGCUCACAGGUACGGGCAGACGACGGAGAUUCGAGUGGAUUCAGUGGAUCGAAUGGUUGCGCUGAGGGAUCCAUGUGCAGGAGUGAUGAACCACAGUUCAGCAAACGAUGCCUUGACAGACCAAUUCAAGGAGAACCUUCGCUAAGAUGAAGAAGGGAACGUGUUUACUGUGUGGAUGGGAAGGACACUUAAAUGUCCGUCAUUCUAAUCGACUAUUAUGACAAUAUUCUAAUUGACUAGAAUGACAAUCUUAACUCGAAAGGGACUCUCUGGACUUACAGAAAGCUACGGACAUAGAGCCCUGACAUGAUACCCUGCAGCCACCAUGAGGACAGCCUAUCUCAUACCUACGGAAGGAUGCCAUCACACGCAUGAUGAGCCAUCCCACAGAAGGGAGAAGGAUGUUGUUGACCCAGCACAUCCCAACCAUGCUCCCAUCGCCGUCAAGUAACAGUACGACGGUUAGAUUGUAUUUUGUCACCGUAGGCUUUAUCGUUUUAUCAAAAUAUCUGAUUGAAAGGUGAUUUAAUGAAAAUUCUAAUUUUUCUGAUGGUGAGAAGGCAAAUUUUUACUUUGCUUAUGACAAGCAUAGAUUAUUUUAAUCUAUGUUUGGUUAUGAUCAUGACUUGUGCCAUGGUUCAAAAUCUUACACUUUUCAAAGAAGGGAUUGAAAUUAUCA